UUAAAAAGCUCGUAGUUGCAGUUUAGGAUUUCGUUUCUAUGGUCGGCUGUGAUAAACAGUUUUGUACUGUAGAGACAAUCCUUUCCUACUGGUUACUCGACUCUGUCCUUUACUGGAUGGAGUACUGUCGCAAGGCAUCGUUUUGCAUGAUAUUGCUCUUCAUUGUACUUUUUGGGUAAAACUGAAGGUGAAAGUGAAGGGAUCACAGUAUUGUGUAAAAUGGGGUUCCAGUUCAUUUACUUUGAGUAAAUUAGAGUGUUCAAAGCAGCCUCUUGGGGCAUUGAAUAUAUUAGCAUGGGAUAAUAGAAUAGGACUCUUGUUCAUUUAUUGGUUUAUGAAUUUAGAGUAAUGAUUAAUAGGGAUAGUUGGGGGCACUUGUAUUCAAUAGUCAGAGGUGAAAUUCUAGGAUUUAUUGAAGACAAACUUCAGCGAAAGCAUUUGCCAAGGAUGUUUUCAUUAAUCAAGAACGAAAGUUAGGGGAUCGAAGACGAUUAGACACCGUCGUAGUCUUAACUAUAAACUAUGCCGACCAGGGAUAUGAGGAUUUUUAUUUAUGCUAUUAAAUUACCAUAAUUCCUUGUGCACCUUGUGAGAAAUCAUAAGUGUUUGGGUUCUGGGGGGAGUAUGGUCGCAAGGCUGAAACUUAAAGGAAUUGACGGAGGGGCACCACCAGGAGUGGAGCCUGCGGCUUAAUUUGACUCAACACGGGAAAACUUACCAGGUCCAGACAUUUGAAGGAUUGACAGAUUGAUAGCCCUUUCUUGAUUAAA
rnacentral:rRNA from 1 species